AUGACGGUUUUGCCCUUUCUUUUUUUCUUUCAUCUAUAACCUUCUCAUUGGCGCUGCCAGAACAAUCCAGAGAGAUCAAUUAUCAAGAACGAUGGAUUGACAGAGAGAGAGAGGUGUGUUUCUGUGAUGGAGGUCUUGAAAUUCACUAUUCCAAGCAGGGCUGAUGAGAGAGAAAAUGAAGGGUGGUGAUGUUGCUGAGCCGUUACGCUCUUUAAAUCACUCAAUGAGUAAUUGAGGUUCGUCGAAGACAGACAACGCACGAUCUCUUCAUUAUCAAAGGCAUUGGCUUGAUUUCUUCAAUAUCAGUGCAAAAAUUCAUAUGUUGCUGAUUUAUCGUUUGGGCAGUGCGAUUGCUUUCCUCAGAGGUGAGGUGAAGACCUUGCUUACCCGGAAUACGAUUCCGAUGAUUCGGUUAAGGAUCCGAGUUAUAGCACUGUUGAAGAGUAACGCCAAGGCGCGGAACAACGAUGACAAAAGGGAGGCAUUAGAAUGAUUAGAUAACCUGGAUAUAAUACUUUUUCCUUUAUUUGAAGGCUUGAGAAAAGAGUGAACGAGGUCGAGCAGUAUUACUUGAGGAAAGGCAGUCUGCAACCAACCACUUCGAAGGAGAAAGACAAAGAAACAUUUUAAUACAAUUAAGAAGCAGCAGCAAGAUGCAUCACGUAGGGAAGCCGCUGCUGCAAAGAGGAUUCGAGAUCUAUUGAAUAAGUUUUCCGCAAUCUUCAAACAGGGCAAAAACAAUACUUAAUAAGUCAGUAACUGGGAGUGUAGCUGCAGAUGGGAUGUGCAAGUCAAGUCACCUUCUAAAGAGUAAGAAUUGUGCUAAUUAUGUAGUGCAAGGCUUCAUUUAUAUAGGAAAUUGAAGCAAAUGAGAAGCAUUGAUAUCAACUCCAACUUGAGGAGGCUAUUAGUAACAUAGGUGCAUUUUCUCCCCCAGUAUUUGGUUGUUGUUGCUUUGCAUUUCUUUUCCUUUUUGUACUCAUCAAGUGUUCUAUAGCUGGAACAGAACUUUCUGUCUUCGUCAAACUAUCAAUCUAUUACGUAUAAAAUUCAUGAAAAAGGAACCAAACCCGCAGCAACGCGCGGACGCUUUUUCUAGUUACCUAUACUAAAGCGCUAUCUCCCCGUGAACAGUAACUCCUAUAUUGAUUUACAUUUUUGCCCCUCAUUGUUUCUUUAUUACAACCCUGCCAUUUAACCGAUUGACAGAGAGAAAAUAUAGGUCUUCUGGGUCUUGCGAGAGAGGUUCCGAAAUUUCAAUCUUCUUUGAUUUUCAUUCAUCACUACUUAACCCAAUGACCCAGUCGAUCCCUUUCUCAUUUCUUUUAACUA